rnacentral:rRNA from 1 species
UUCAGUGCAAGCCAAAGUAAGGUGAAACCGCGAAUGGCUCAUUAAAUCAGUUAUGGUUCCUUAGAUCGUACCAAAUUACUUGGAUAACUGUGGUAAUUCUAGAGCUAAUACAUGCAAACAGAGUCCCGACCAGAAAUGGAAGGGACGCUUUUAUUAGAUCAAAACCAAUCGGUCGGCUUGUCCGGUCCGUUUGCCUUGGUGACUCUGAAUAACUUUGGGCUGAUCGCACGGUCCUGGUACCGGCGACGCAUCUUUCAAAUGUCUGCCUUAUCAACUGUCGAUGGUAGGUUCUGCGCCUACCAUGGUUGUAACGGGUAACGGGGAAUCAGGGUUCGAUUCCGGAGAGGGAGCCUGAGAAACGGCUACCACAUCCAAGGAAGGCAGCAGGCGCGCAAAUUACCCACUCCCGGCACGGGGAGGUAGUGACGAAAAAUAACGAUACGGGACUCAUCCGAGGCCCCGUAAUCGGAAUGAAUACACUUUAAAUCCUUUAAUGAGUAUCCAUUGGAGGGCAAGUCUGGUGCCAGCAGCCGCGGUAAUUCCAGCUCCAAUAGCGUAUAUUAAAGUUGUUGCGGUUAAAAAGCUCGUAGUUGGAUUUGUGUCCCACGCUGUCGGUUCAUCGCUCGUCGGUGUCUAACUGGCAUGAUUCGUGGGACGUCCUGCCGGUGGUGGCGAGUCGAAGGCGUGCACCCGUUGUGGUUUCCACUUCGGUUCUUGCGCGCCGGAGGCGGACCCCGAUGAAAUCCUACCGCGGUGCUCUUCGCCGAGUGUCGAGGUGGGCCGGCACGUUUACUUUGAACAAAUUAGAGUGCUUAAAGCANGCCUGUUGCGCCUGAAUACUGUGUGCAUGGAAUAAUGGAAUAGGACCUCGGUUCUAUUUUGUUGGUUUUCGGAACCCGAGGUAAUGAUUAAUAGGGACAGGCGGGGGCAUUCGUAUUGCGACGUUAGAGGUGAAAUUCUUGG